rnacentral:rRNA from 1 species
AGUACGAUCGCAAGGUUGAAACUCAAAGGAAUUGACGGGGGCCCGCACAAGCGGUGGAGCAUGUGGCUUAAUUCGAUGCAACGCGAGGAACCUUACCUGGGCUCGAACGCUACCGGACGGCCGCCCGAAAGGGGGCUUUUCUUCGGAACUGGUAGCGAGGUGCUGCAUGGCUGUCGUCAGUUCGUGUCGUGAGAUGUUGGGUUAAGUCCCGCAACGAACGCAACCCCUAUCGUUAGUUACCAGCGGGUUAAGCCGGGGACUCUAGCGAGACUGCCUGCGCAAGCAGUGAGGAAGGUGGGGAUGACGUCAAGUCAUCAUGGCCCUUAUGCCCAGGGCUGCACACGUGCUACAAUGGUCGGUACAACGGGCUGCCACCCCGCGAGGGGGAGCUAAUCCAUAAAGCCGGCCUCAGUUCGGAUCGGAGUCUGCAACUCGACUCCGUGAAGUCGGAAUCGCUAGUAAUCGCGUAUCAGCAACGACGCGGUGAAUACGUUCCCGGGCCUUGUACACACCGCCCGUCAAGCCAUGGAAGCCGGGGGCACCCGAAGCCCGUGACCCAACUACGGAGGGAGCGGUCGAAGGUGAAUCUGGUGACUGGGGCUAAGUCGUAACAAGGUAACC